AGAUUGAACGCUGGCGGCAUGCCUUACACAUGCAAGUCGAACGGCAGCACGGGAGCAAUCCUGGUGGCGAGUGGCGAACGGGUGAGUAAUAUAUCGGAACGUGCCCAGUCGUGGGGGAUAACGUAGAGAAAUUUACGCUAAUACCGCAUACGAUCCAAGGAUGAAAGCGGGGGACCGUAAGGCCUCGCGCGACUGGAGCGGCUGAUAUCAGAUUAGCUUGUUGGUGAGGUAAAAGCUCACCAAGGCGACGAUCUGUAGCUGGUUUGAGAGAACGACCAGCCACACUGGGACUGAGACACGGCCCAGACUCCUACGGGAGCAG
rnacentral:rRNA from 1 species